rnacentral:rRNA from 1 species
GACGAACGCUGGCGGCGUGCUUAACACAUGCAAGUCGAACGGAAAGGCCCUGCUUUUGUGGGGUGCUCGAGUGGCGAACGGGUGAGUAACACGUGAGUAACCUGCCCUUGACUUUGGGAUAACUUCAGGAAACUGGGGCUAAUACCGGAUAGGAGCUCCUGCUGCAUGGUGGGGGUUGGAAAGUUUCGGCGGUUUGGGAUGGACUCGCGGCUUAUCAGCUUGUUGGUGGGGUAGUGGCUUACCAAGGCUUUGACGGGUAGCCGGCCUGAGAGGGUUACCGGCCACAUUGGGACUGAGAGACGGACCAGACUCCUACGGGAGGCAGCAGUGGGGAAUAUUGCACAAUGGGCGGAAGCCUGAUGCAGCAAUGCCGCGUGCGGGAUGACGGGUUACGGGUUGUAAACCGAUUUCGACGUUGAUGAAGAGUGAGUGACGGUAAUGGGUAAAGAAGCACCGGCUAACUACGUG